AUUGAACGCUGGCGGCAUGCCUUACACAUGCAAGUCGAACGGCAGCACGGGAGCAAUCCUGGUGGCGAGUGGCGAACGGGUGAGUAAUAUAUCGGAACGUGCCCAGUCGUGGGGAUAACGUAGCGAAAGCUACGCUAAUACCGCAUACGAUCUAUGGAUGAAAGCGGGGGAUCGCAAGACCUCGCGCGAUUGGAGCGGCCGAUAUCAGAUUAGGUAGUUGGUGAGGUAAAGGCUCACCAAGCCGACGAUCUGUAGCUGGUCUGAGAGGACGACCAGCCACACUGGGACUGAGACACGGCCCAGACUCCUACGGGAGGCAGCAGUGGGAAUUUUGGACAAUGGGCGCAAGCCUGAUCCAGCAAUGCCGCGUGCAGGAUGAAGGCCUUGGUGUAACUAGCUUUGUUACGGAACGAAACGGUAGAGG
rnacentral:rRNA from 1 species